rnacentral:lncRNA from 1 species
GUGGUUAGUGCUCUGAUGUCCCGAUAUAGAUAAUCUUGAAGUAAUUCUUGAUUCUUAGAUCAACUAGAGAACUCUCAGGAAACUUCCUCUCUUCCCACCAAAAAUAAUUAUAUAGUUAUCCUUGGGCGAUCUUGGAUCUUAAUUAGUACACUCACGUUCCCUGUGGAAAAUCGAUACUCUGGAAUACUCCCGGGUGAAGGCUACAUCGGUAUCCGUGCGCUUGCGGAUUUUUUCUGUUUGCGUUUAAAAUACCCAACAAGCUUUCUGGCGCCGUUGCCGGGGAACGGUAGCUGUGCUAGUUUCGAACCAAGUCGUCUGUGUAUCCUUUUUCUUUUUCUUUUUUUACCACACUCACCUUAUCAUUUUCACCGUACCACAUGGAUUUCACUCUAAGCAUUAAUGAGCAUGGAAUUUAUUUCAUAGCCACUUCACUUACUCCAUGCUCAUAUGCAACAUCUUCACAAUCCAUUGGUCUCUGCAACAUCACCACAUUCGAGAUCUCCAACCCCCUCAUUCUUUCUAUUUAUAAAAACUUUAAAAGGGUGGUUGUCGAUGCAUAUGUCUAUAUUAAAUAUUGCAGAUCUCGUUGAGUUGAUCUUGAUAUAGGUCAGCGUUGGAGGGGAAACCACUUCGCCGACAUAAAUUGAUGGUUUCCCAAGGACAAGCUUAGUGUCCUAAAACAAGCACUGAUCAGAUCGUAACAUGAGCUUUUAAUUAUUUGCAACAAUACCUUGUGUGUUGAGCAUAUAAGGAUAAUUGUAAAAACAUUCCUUCGGGUAUUCUUGUCACUAACCUUUCUAGGAUUGGAGCAAGA